rnacentral:rRNA from 1 species
CCAUACCAUGCUGAAUAUACCGGUUCUCGUUAGAUCACUGAAGUCAAGCAUCAUUGGGCGCUGUCAAUACUUGGGUGGGGGACCACCUGGGAACACCGCGUGCUGUUG